CUGGACCUCGGAUCAGGCCAGGCUACCCGCUGAAUUUAAGCAUAUUAAUAAGCGGAGGAAAAGAAACUAACAAGGAUUCCCCCAGUAACGGCGAGCGAAGCGGGAAUAGCUCAAAUUUGAAAUCUCCGGUGCUUGCACCGGCGAAUUGUAGUCUGUAGGGCCAGUUUCGCCCGAGACAGUGUCCCCAAAGUCGUCCUGGAAAGGCGAGCCGGAGAGGGUGAGAGCCCCGUACGCGGGGGCGCUGUCGAGGGUAAGAUCUGUGCCCGAAGAGUCGGGUUGUUUGGGAUUGCAGCCCAAAAUGGGUGGUAAACUCCAUCUAAAGCUAAAUACCGGCACGAGACCGAUAGCG
rnacentral:rRNA from 2 species